CUCUUCUCUGGCAGAAAGCUCCUUCUCUUCACUUACUUUUUGGAAUUCCUACCUCCUUUUGAUGCUCAGUUAUUUCCUUGUGUACAAAUGCUGUCUCCUCAACAAGAUUUUAAGUUCUUCUCAAGCAACUAAUGAGAAGCUGCAUGGAUCAACUGAGAGAAGACUGGCCUUUGGAGUCAACAACAUCCGUAUUGCCUCUGCCUCAUGUCUCAUGUCCAGGUCUAGAUCCCUAAGUUAAAGGUAAUUCUUGGUCUGCAUCAGGUAAGGGAAGUGUCUGAUAGAAGGUUGAAAUCACAAGUCAGGACCCAAAUCCUUCCUAAUUUAAUGAUGGCAACAGAUAAAGUACAAUGGCUGUGUUACCGGGAAAGUAGUAAGUCUUAUAAACAAUAACAGUCUGAAAACAGACUUUUCAAAGUUUUUUUCAAAGCAUGUUUCAUUUUCAUUUUUUCUUGACAGGACUCACAAGGUAAAUUUUAAAAUUCAAAAGUAAGAGGGACAAAACUCCAACAAAACUGUCUGCCUUUGUCCAUUUACCUGCACAUUGUUGGCCAAAACAUGCAUCAGGUGGACCUGC